CGGCAGCGGGAGAACCGGACCGGACAUUUUGUCCGAUUGGACGGCGACCAUACUAUGGCACGUCCUUGGGGUGUAUUCGCGAUGCGAUAGGGGACUCUCUUUCCCGAACCCGACAGCUAAUCUCGUCAGCGUAAGAGAGCGGAU
rnacentral:sRNA from 1 species